rnacentral:tRNA from 1 species
AUUUAUAUAGCUUAUAUUUAAAGUGAAGCGUUGAAGGUGCUUAGAAAGUAAGAUGAACUUGUAAAUA